rnacentral:misc_RNA from 1 species
AAACACACGCACGCACAAGACGCACGGACGAACACUGAUGCAAGCAAGCUAAAGUUGAGAGUUGAGACCUCACUUUCGCCUCUCCGAAGAGCCGUCACCUGCCACCACCACUGCCACAUUUUUUUGUUGGUGCAGACAGAGAAAUGCAGAGACUUGCUCUCCCAUAAACGCGCGUGAUAAGGCUUCACUGAUCGAUCGCCAAACAGAGAUCUCUUUUCUAGUUUUCUUCACGACUUAGGAUUUUGUUGAUCCAUGGCAUCGGAGGAUGUGAAGACG